UAGGGAAUCUUCGGCAAUGGACGAAAGUCUGACCGAGCAACGCCGCGUGAGUGAAGAAGGUUUUCGGAUCGUAAAACUCUGUUGUUAGAGAAGAACAAGGACGUUAGUAACUGAACGUCCCCUGACGGUAUCUAACCAGAAAGCCACGGCUAACUACGUGCCAGCAGCCGCGGUAAUACGUAGGUGGCAAGCGUUGUCCGGAUUUAUUGGGCGUAAAGCGAGCGCAGGCGGUUUCUUAAGUCUGAUGUGAAAGCCCCCGGCUCAACCGGGGAGGGUCAUUGGAAACUGGGAGACUUGAGUGCAGAAGAGGAGAGUGGAAUUCCAUGUGUUGCGGUGAAAUGCGUAGAUAUAUGGAGGAACACCAGUGGAGAAGGCGGCUCUCUGGUCUGUAACUGACGCUGAGGCUCGAAAGCGUGGGGAGCAAACAGG
rnacentral:rRNA from 1 species